GACGAACGCUGGCGGCAUGCCUAAUACAUGCAAGUCGAGCGAACAGAUGAAGUGCUUGCACUUCUGACGUUAGCGGCGAAUGGGUGAGUAACACGUAAGGAAUCUGCCUAUAAGCGGGGGAUAACAUUCGGAGACGGGUGCUAAUGCCGCAUAAUAUCUUCUUCCGCAUGGAAGAAGAUUGAGAGACGGCUCUGCUGUCACUUAUAGAUGACCUUGCGGUGCAUUAGUUAGUUGGUGGGGUAAUGGCCUACCAAGACAAUGAUGCAUAGCCGACCUGAGAGGGUGAUCGGCCACAUUGGGACUGAGACACGGCCCAAACUCCUAAGGGAGGCAGCAGUAGGGAAUCUUCCGCAAUGGGCGAAAGCCUGACGGAGCAAUGCCGCGUGAGUGAAGAAGGCCUUCGGGUCGUAAAACUCUGUUAUAAGAGAAGAACAAAUUGUAGAGUAACUGCUACAGUCUUGACGGUAUCUUAUCAGAAAGCCACGGCUAACUACGUGCCAGCAGCCGCGGUAA
rnacentral:rRNA from 1 species